rnacentral:misc_RNA from 1 species
GAAAUGCGAUAAGUAGUGUGAAUUGCAGAAUUUAGCGAAUCAUCGAAUCUUUGAACGCACAUUGCGCCCCUUGGUAUUCCAUGGGGCAUGCCUGUUCGAGCGUCAUUUCAACCCUCAAGCACUGCUUGGUGUUGGGCGUUUGUCCCGCCUACGCGCGUGGACUCGCCUCAAAGUCAUUGGCAGCUGUUCCCCUUCGGCUCGUAAGCGCAGCACAGUCGGCGCCCGGAGCUCUGGUGGGAUGGCGUCUAGCAAGCUAUAUUUUCAGGCUUGACCUCGGAUCAGGUAGGGAUACCCGCUGAACUUAAGC